GGGUGGGCGAAAAAAUGACAAUUUUUUCAUGGGUCCGGGGUGGGCGAAAAAAUGACAAUUUUUUCAUGGGUCCGGGGUGGGCGAAAAAAUGACAAUUUUUUCAUGGGUCCGGGGUGGGCAACAAAAUGACAAUUUUUUCAUUGGUCCAGGGUGGGCGAAAAAAUGACAAUUUUUUCAUGGGUCCGGAGUGGGCGAAAAAAUGACAAUUUUUUCAUGGGUCCGGGUUGGGCAACAAAAUGACAAUUUUUUCAUUGGUCCUGGGUGGGCGAAAAUAUGACAAUUUUUUCAUGGGUCCAGGGUGGGCGAAAAAAUGACAAUUUUUUCAUGGGUCCGUGGUGGGCAACAAAAUGACAAUUUUUUCAUGGGUCCGGAGUGGGCGAAAAAAUGAC
rnacentral:lncRNA from 1 species